rnacentral:rRNA from 1 species
UACGAAGGGGGCUAGCGUUGCUCGGAAUCACUGGGCGUAAAGCGCACGUAGGCGGAUUGUUAAGUCAGGGGUGAAAUCCUGGAGCUCAACUCCAGAACUGCCUUUGAUACUGGCGAUCUCGAGUCCGGGAGAGGUGAGUGGAACUGCGAGUGUAGAGGUGAAAUUCGUAGAUAUUCGCAAGAACACCAGUGGCGAAGGCGGCUCACUGGCCCGGUACUGACGCUGAGGUGCGGAAAGCGUGGGGGAGCAACAGG